GUCGUUGUCGCGCGCAGACGUCGCACUGACGCAUCGAUACACUCUUCUUUCCCGCACGAAAAAGAAGACGAGAGAUCCGAUGAACUGCAGCUGAAGGAACGAUCGAUUAGUGUGAAUCAAGGCCCUUCGAAUGCAGUGUGCAUUUCUGGCUCCAAUUUAAUGACGACCUUCACUGGUGAAGAUGGAACAGCGGAAAAUCCAAGUGGGAUUUAGGGAGAAGAAUAUCGAGGGAAUCUUAAGAAAAAUAAGAUAUAUUUAAAAUAUAUAAAUAAAUAUCGGACAAAAAAAUGAUGUUGUAUUUAAUAGUAAAUUUUGUGUACGUAUAUGCGCGCACAUAUAGAUGUAACUUUUAAUAAAAUUGCAUUAAAAUUGAUCAAUGUGAAUUAAUUAUAAUUUUCGCAUUACCUACAUUGUAAUUAGAGAGGUCUACGAUUUAGAAAGAGAAGGAGGAUCGUUAAGCAUAUCGAUUACUCAACACAGUUGAUCCCGAACAUCGAAUAUCGUGAGAGAGGUAGUCAUGAACUGCAUUGGGAAACUGCAUUGGGAAACUGGAUCUAUAGAUAUUGUAGAAGAAUGUAAAUAGUUUCCGAGCGAGUAACAUUUUGCAAGCUAUUGCCAAUUAUGAUAUCACAAGCUUGAAGAAUCAUUCAUUUCUCUCUCUCUCUCUCUCUCUCUCUCUCUCUCUCUCUCUCUAAAAAGUCUAACAAACACACGAAAAAAAGAUGUUAAAGCGUAUUAUCGAGGCCUUCAUUUUAAUCAAGAAUGUAAACCGUAAAACUUGAAAACGUGGAAAUCCUCGUGAAAUUCCCACGAGACAGAUACAUCGAGUGGGUUAAGUUAUAUGGGAGAAUCGUAAAAUAUACUUAAGGACACUAUCAAGGAUAUCAUCGUCGGGAUAGACUUUCAAGCAGAUUGGAUGGAAGAG